UUUGUAUGAGAAUUAGAUGCUUAUAUCGAUCCCUGUUCGUGACCUGUGUGGUUGCUGAAACCUGGGAUUUGAGUUUUGAAAAUUCAAUUUCGAAUCAGAUUUCUUAGAUCUAAUUUUCUCUGACAAAUCAGGUAUGAGCAAGAUAUAUGGACAUACAUAACAAGGUUUUUGGAUGGUAAAUCAUUGGUGAAGCUGGGAGCAACGAACAAAUGGUUCUAUAAGAUUGCAAUGGAGGAUACUGUUUGGAGGUUUGCAUGCUUGCGUGAUCUUCAGGUCCCUGAGACGUUUCCAGUUUCUUCCACCUGGAUUAAGAUUUAUGCUUCAGCUUUUGGUAAGUUUCACAUGACUUAUGAUACAUUCUGAAACAAUGGUAAACUCAAAACACGAUAUGGAAAAAUGCAGAUGGGAGUCACUCUUACUUGUUCCACCAGAAGGAGAAGCAUAUUGGUUAGUCCAUGAAUUGGAUUCAUCAUACUCUCUUAGUCUCAUGUUAAAUAUAGAUGUUGUACAGAUCUUUAUAUGGUUUUGACACUGUGAUUAUAGAUUGGA
rnacentral:lncRNA from 1 species